rnacentral:ncRNA from 2 species
UGAUGAGGUAGAGGCGCAAAACCGAUUAGUACAUGUCUGGAGUUUGAACGACGUUAAAAGAUAUGGAAAGGCGUUUUUGCCGAAGCUGAAAGAAACGUUCAUUUCUUUUGGGCUGGGUCGUCACUGAAUAAGUGGCGGACUGUCACAGGAAACUGUGGAGGACUACUAUGGAU